rnacentral:rRNA from 1 species
UAGGGAAUCUUCGGCAAUGGACGGAAGUCUGACCGAGCAACGCCGCGUGAGUGAAGAAGGUUUUCGGAUCGUAAAGCUCUGUUGUAAGAGAAGAACGAGUGUGAGAGUGGAAAGUUCACACUGUGACGGUAUCUUACCAGAAAGGGACGGCUAACUACGUGCCAGCAGCCGCGGUAAUACGUAGGUCCCGAGCGUUGUCCGGAUUUAUUGGGCGUAAAGCGAGCGCAGGCGGUUAGCUAAGUCUGAAGUUAAAGGCUGUGGCUUAACCAUAGUACGCUUUGGAAACUGUUUAACUUGAGUGCAAGAGGGGAGAGUGGAAUUCCAUGUGUAGCGGUGAAAUGCGUAGAUAUAUGGAGGAACACCGGUGGCGAAAGCGGCUCUCUGGCUUGUAACUGACGCUGAGGCUCGAAAGCGUGGGGAGCAAACAGGAUUAGAUACCCUGGUAGUCCACGCCGUAAACGAUGAGUGCUAGGUGUUAGACCCUUUCCGGGGUUUAGUGCCGCAGCUAACGCAUUAAGCACUCCGCCUGGGGAGUACGACCGCAAGGUUG